GUAAAGCACUUCCUUACUGUAGAAUAAUAAAUAUAGGACAGAUAGAGUUAGGAAAUCGCCAUUUGGUGCACCUGGGUGGCUUAAUCAGGUAAGUGUCUGACUCUUGAUUUCAGCUUAGGUCAUAAUCUCACUGUUUGUAAGAUUGAGCCCAAAUCGGGCUCAGGCUCUGGGUUGAUGGUUCGGAGCCUGCCUGGGAUUCUCUCUCUCUCCCUCUCCCUCUCUCUGUCUGCUGCUCCCCCCACUUCUCUUUCCAUGUCUCCAAAUAAAUAAGUAAAUUUUUAAAGAAUAAAUAAGUUAAAAAAUUUUAAGAGUAAUUAUAUUUCUAUGUACACAGACUUCAGGUGUUUUUCAUAUUUUUAAAAAAUGUUUAUUUAUUUUGAGAGAGAGAGUGCAGGGUAGGACAGAGAGAGAAGGGGAGAGAGAGGAUUCCAAGCAGGCUCCGUGCUACCAUCACAGAACCCGACAUGGUGCUUGAACUCUCAAACUGUGAGAUCAUGACCUGAGCUGAAACCAAGAGUAGGACGCUUAACCGACUGAACUACCCAGGUGCCCCAUCAUAUUUUUUUAAAAAAUAAAAAGUCGGUUCCUAAGCUUCAGCCAUACCACUUAAAUAAUGAAGUGAAUAAUAUUGAUUAUUUAAUUCAGACAUCUAGUCUGAUCAAACACCCAGGAACAAAUUAUUCCACCAUAUAAAUUUCCUAGGUAAGUAAAUUAGGCAGUUGACAAAACCCUAUUUUGAUUUUCUCCUACUUUGUAAUUUAAGUGAUAGAUGAUUUAAAUAUUUUUCAAGUUGACAUUCUUGAAAUCAAAAGAAGGAAAAAAGUUUCUUUCCCACAUUUCCAAGCAACACAAAGGAUAGAAAAUUUGAGUAAUUGCUAGUGUUAUGUAAGUUAACAGUGAUUGUGUUAACAGUCUGCAACAUUCAGUUUCCUUCAGAAGAAUAAAGUCAGUCAGUUAAUUCCACUAACAUUUGAAGUCAUAGCUCUCUAAACAAUGUGUUUGAUUCCCUAAAGCUAUUCCCAAUGGACUCCCUUCCAAGUUUAGAAUAUAAUAGCAGAAUUUUCCCUGAACUUUCUUUAUGUUUACAAAUUUUAAUUUCAUUUAGGGGUUGACAUUAGGUUAAUUUCAUUUAGGGUUGACUACAAUGCAACUGUACUCAUUUGUGAAUAGGCCCCUUAGUUAUCUACAGCAAAAAUAUUUCAUAAGUGACAUGAGGUUUGAAUUACAACAAAACUACAACACAUUUCAGUUCAUGAUGACCCACUGCAUAAACUUGGCUGUUAAGUAUACUCUGUCCUACAUCUCUAAGGCUGAAUGGAACUAUUUCUCCUUUCAGUAAAGCUUAAUUCCUUCAUUUUAUAUUCAUUACUUUUUUAUUAAUUUUUUUUAACGCUUAUUCAUUCCUGAGACACACAGACAGAGUAUGAGGGGGAGGGGGGCAGAGAGAGAGGGAGGGAGACAUAGAAUCCGAAGCAGGCUCCAGGCUCUGAGCUGCCAACACAGAGCCAGAUGUGGGGCUCAAACUCACAGAUUGUCAGAUCAUGACCUGAGCCAAAGCCGGAGGCCCAACAAACUGAGCCACCCAGGCGCCCCUAUUCACUACUUUUCAUAUUUGCUGUCCUUUGAGUAUAUAUAUUUCUCUCUAAAAUUUCUUGUAUUGUUACUAAGCCUGUGGCUAUUGUCCAUCUUUGAACCACUGAUAUGCCCUGUCUCCUUUUAUACUUAAGCAGUUGCCCCAUUUUGUAUGGAGCACUGAUGGUAUACACCACAACUGUGCACGUGGUUCUUGUGCGUGUGACAACAAUGUGAACAGUUUGAAGCAAACCAGAUCAACGGAGAUUCCCUUGUAGUAACUGAGCACUUUACAUCCAUGGCAAACCAGGAAUCACCUGGGGAUCUUAAAAAAAUGGCAGAUUCCAGGACUCCUCAUCUGACUUAAAAGAAGGAAAUUUCAAAAUAUCAAGAGAUAAAGACUAG